rnacentral:rRNA from 1 species
GACAGAGGGUGCAAACGUUGUUCGGAAUUACUGGGCGUAAAGCGCGUGUAGGCGGCUUGGCAAGUCGGGUGUGAAAGCCCUGGGCUCAACCUAGGAAGUGCACUCGAAACUGCCUCGCUGGAGUGCCGGAGAGGAAAGCGGAAUUCUCGGUGUAGAGGUGAAAUUCGUAGAUAUCAGGAAGAACACCCGUGGCGAAGGCGGCUCUCUGGUACGUGACUGACGCUGAGACGCGAAAGCGUGGGGAGCAAACAGG